UUGCAGGCUGCAACCCGCCUGCAUGAAGUCGGAAUUGCUAGUAAUCGCGGAUCAGCAUGCCGCGGUGAAUACGUUCCCGGGCCUUGUACACACCGCCCGUCACACCAUGGGAGCCGGUAAUACCCGAAGUCAGUGGUCCAACCUCGUGAGGACGCUGCCGAAGGUAGGAUUGGCGACUGGGGUGAAGUCGUAACAAGGUAAC
rnacentral:rRNA from 1 species